GUUUAUGGGCUGUCCAUCUCGAUAGAGUGUCAUAGGAGAAGUGAGCUGAAAUCAAGAAAACUGAGUGAGAGUCUGGCAAGAAAAUGGAUGGAGAGAAAAUCAGCAAAACCACAUCAGUGUCUGCUGCUCCUCACAGACAGUCUACAAAUGAGUGGAGCCCUAGAUCUAAGUGAAGUGGCGAUGUCAUAUAUGAUAAGGCUCCGUGGAUUCCAUCCUCAACAUGGUCAUGGAAAACUUGGACUCCAACCUUUUGAAGUCUUGAAACAUACAUGAUCCCAUCAUCUCUCAGGACAUCAUGUUGACAGAAACAGACUUGAGGUCAUACGAGGUCUAUGGAAAACCAAAAGU
rnacentral:lncRNA from 1 species